AAUCUAGGGAAAAGAUUUCUGCACAAACCAGACUUUGGAAACUAAUGUGUGGAAAUGCUUCUGCUGCAUU
rnacentral:pre_miRNA from 12 species